rnacentral:misc_RNA from 1 species
CACUUCAAUUUUUAUCUCCAUUGAUGCAUUGAACAAGUUCCAAGUGCAAUGCUCUAAGGGUUUGGCUAGGCUACUUCUCAUUGUUAUUCAUUGACCCAAAAUGUGGUGGAUCACCAAACGCAAACCAUUGCCUGAGAAUGCUAGCAUGAAUUGGAGAAGAGUUACCCAUCCAAAACUUUAGCCUCACAAUCAGUUACCUUUUCUAUUCAAACUUGGUGUCACCACCUUCUAAUGGUUGUUCCACCAUCAAUGAUCUCCCCAAUAUGGGUGUCAAUGGCCAUUCUUUGCUAUUGUAUCUAGGUGUUGAUGGAUGUGGGUGUCAAUGGGUGUUAUUGUGUUUAUUGUCUGAAUAGGGGGAGCUCAUAUGGGUUUGUCAUGUGAGGGAGAAAAGUCGGUACAGGAGAUGAAUGUUGAGUGUGGUAAAAGAGAGGUAUGGAGGUGGCGAUCCUGUUGAGAAUAUAUGACCUU